rnacentral:rRNA from 1 species
ACGAANKUYUGACCGAGNCANCGCCGCGUGAGUGAAGAAGGUUUUCGGAUCGUAAAACUCUGUUGUUAGAGAAGAACAAGGACGUUAGUAACUGAACGUCCCCUGACGGUAUCUAACCAGAAAGCCACGGCUAACUACGUGCCAGCAGCCGCGGUAAUACGUAGGUGGCAANMNWNNNCCGGAUUUAUUGGGCGUAAAGCGAGCGCAGGCGGUUUYUUNAGUCUGAUGUGAAAGCCCCCGGCUCAACCGGGGAGGGUCAUUGGAAACUGGGAGACUUGAGUGCAGAAGAGGAGAGUGGAAUUCCAUGUGUAGCGGUGAAAUGCGUAGAUAUAUGGAGGAACACC